rnacentral:rRNA from 1 species
AGUGAACGCUGGCGGUAGGCCUAACACAUGCAAGUCGAACGGCAGCACAGUAAGAGCUUGCUCUUACGGGUGGCGAGUGGCGGACGGGUGAGGAAUACAUCGGAAUCUACUUUUUCGUGGGGGAUAACGUAGGGAAACUUACGCUAAUACCGCAUACGACCUACGGGUGAAAGCAGGGGAUCUUCGUACCUUGCGCGAUUGAAUGAGCCGAUGUCGGAUUAGCUAGUUGGCGGGGUAAAGGCCCACCAAGGGGACGAUCCGUAGCUGGUCUGAGAGGAUGAUCAGCCACACUGGAACUGAGACACGGUCCAGACUACUACGGGAGGCAGCAGUGGGGAAUAUUGGACAAUGGGCGCAAGCCUGAUCCAGCCAUACCGCGUGGGUGAAGAAGGCCUUCGGGUUGUAAAGCCCUUUUGUUGGGAAAGAAAAGCAGCAGGUUAAUACCCCGCUGUUCUGACGGUACCCAAAGAAUAAGCACCGGCUAACUUCGUG